rnacentral:rRNA from 1 species
AGUUAGCCGUGGCUUCCUCCUCAGGUACCGUCAUUAUCGUCCCUGAAGACGGGGUUUUACAAUCCGAAGACCGUCAUCACCCACGCGGCGUUGCUGCGUCAGGCUUUCGCCCAUUGCGCAAUAUUCCCCA